rnacentral:misc_RNA from 1 species
GUAUACAUUUUUCCCACCUGUCUGGUAAUUGGUGGAUGCCACGCCAAAAAAACUGUCGCUCUUUUGAGGCAAACCAGUCAUCGAGCCAUUUUCGUACAUCUUCGUAAGAAGUGAAGUGCUGGUCAGAAAGUGCGUGUCCCAUCGAUGCAAAUAAAUAGUAAUCGGACGGAGCCAAGUCUGGCCUGAUAAGUGGUCCGAAACUAGCUGAAGAACUUUUGAUAAAGACUAAAAAGAAGGUGUACUCUCAAACCAUGCGCAGAACAUUGAAAAAAGGCUAUUACAGUGAAAGAGUUGCUCGGAGACAGCCAUUUGUAAACGAAGCGAAUAGAAAGAAAAAAUUCAGAUGGGCGGCGAAUAAUAUGGCGGAAGAAGAAUAAAGAAUUUUAAUUGAAAAUUACGAAACCCAUUGUAAAAUAUGGUAAUGGAAACGUGCUUGCGUGGGGAUGUAUUUCAAUGUUUGGAACGGGCGAAUUAGAUUUUGUUGAUAACAUUAUGGACGAAUAUAGAUAUUUAAAUAUUAAAAAAAAAUUUACUCAAAAGUGCUUUGAAAAUAGGGAUUGUUGAUAUAUUUAAGUACUAUCAAGAUAACGAUCUUAAACAUAAGGUCCGCAUAUGGAAAUAUUUGUUGCAUAACUAUCCAAAAUUAUUACACCCUGCAUCUCAGUCACCAAAUCUGAACCCGAUUCGAAACCUAUGGGAAGAACUAGAAAGGUGAAUUAGAAAAAUUCCAAUAAUGUCAAAAGAAGUGCUGAAACAGCGAUUAAAGGAAGAAUGGAAUAGUAUUAAUACUGGAUACCUGAACAAAUAAUUUGUAAUAUGCCACAACGUUUGAAGGAAGUUAUUGAUCAAGAAGGUUACUCUAUACAUCACUUGUAAAAUGUAAUAAAUAAUAAAUAAUAAAGAAAAGAAUUACUUAUAUUUUAAAGUCCGAAUAUUAGAGUAAUGUUUCAUUUAAUACGUAUUAUUUAACAAGCUCUGGAUGUUAUGUAAAUAAUAUUUAUACUCUUGUUAACUAAACAGAGUACCUAAAUAUUGUAUAAUAUUAUAAUAAGUAACUAACUAUACCAUUUACGUUUUU